AAAAAAGUUCAGAAUUUUUGUAAUGUUGAAUCCUCUCUUAUUAUAAGUAAUAGGAUAACUAUCUUUGGUAUGUGCGUACCUUACAAGGUCCUCAUGCCCGUCAGACAGUUUUCACUUGACCUCGACCUCAUUUCAUGGAUCAGUGAACAAGGUUAAGUUUUGGUGGUCAAGUCCAUAUCUCAGAUACUAUAAGCAAUAGGGCUAGUAUAUUCGGUGUAUGGAAGGACUGGUAGGUGUACAUGUCCAACUGGCAGGUGUCAUCUGACCUUGACCUCAUUUUCAUGGUUCAGUGGUUAUAGUUAAGUUUUUGUGUUUUGGUCUAUUUUUCCCAUACUUUGUGCAAUGAGUCUACUAUAUUUGUUGUAUGGAAUGAUUGUAAGGUGUACAUGUCUAGCGGGCAGAUGUCAUCUGACCUUGACCUCAUUUUCAUGGUUCAGUGGUCAAAGUUAAGUUUUUGAGUUUUGGUCUUUUUAUCUAAUAUAAUAUGCCAAAGGUCAACUAUAUUUGGUGUAUGGAAAUAUUUUAUGAUCUAUAUGUAAGUCCCGCAGGUUUUAUUUGACCAUGACCUCAAUUUCAUGGAUCAUUGCACAGUGUUAAGUUUUUGUGUUUUGGUCUAUUUUUCUUAAACUAUAAGUAAUAGGUCAACUAUAUUUAUUGUAUAGAAGCAUUGUUAGCUGUACAUGUCUGCCUGGCAUGGUUCAUCUGACCUUGACCUCAUUUUCAAUGGUUCAUUUGUCUUUGUUUAGCUAUCUUGGUUUAUGUUAAGUUUAUGUGGCAGUUGUUAAAGCUUUAUACUUAGGACUAUCAACAUAAUAUCAAUGAUUAGUAAAGAAGGCGAGACAUUUCAGUGUGUGCACUCUUGUUUUAUUUAGUGUUUUCAUAAAUUUAGAAACACAUCAGAGGGAAUUCCCCAGUUUUGAUAACAUGCGAGAGUUCUCUGAAUUCCGAUCGAUAAAUCUAUUUCUGUCAUAUAAGAACUGAAGUGGAG
rnacentral:lncRNA from 1 species